rnacentral:rRNA from 1 species
CGGGGUGCAGCAGGCGCGAAACCUUCGCAAUGCGCGAAAGCGUGACGAGGUUAAUCCGAGUGGCCCCCGCUGAGGGGGUCUUUUGUCAGCUGUAAAUAGGCAGGCGAAUAAGGGGAGGGCAAGCCUGGUGUCAGCCGCCGCGGUAAUACCAGCUCCUCGAGUGGUCGGGGCGAUUAUUGGGCCUAAAGCAUCCGUAGCCGGUUCCGUAGGUCCUCUGUUAAAUCCAACCGCUCAACGGUUGACCUGCAGAGGAUACCGCGGGACUAGGAGGCGGGAGAGGCGGACGGUACUCCGCGUGUAGGGGUAAAAUCCUUUGAUCCGCGGAAGACCACCAGUGGCGAAGGCGGUCCGCCAGAACGCGCUCGACGGUGAGGGAUGAAAGCUGGGGGAGCGAACCGGAUUAGAUACCCGGGUAGUCCCAGCCGUAAACGAUGCUAGCUAGAUGAUUCGUUCGCAAGUCGCGAAUGAAGUGUCGCAGGGAAGCCGUUAAGCUAGCCGCCUGGGGAGUACGGUCGCAAGACUGAAACUGGAGGCCGGUAAAACGACCUUCGGCAGUUAACUUAAAGGAAUUGGCGGGGGAGCAC